UGGGAUGACGUCAAAGUCAGCACGGCCCUUAUGUCCAGGGCUACACACGUGUUACAAUGGCCGGCACAGAGGGCAGCUACCUGGUGACAGGAUGCUAAUCUCGAAAACCGGUACUCAGUUCGGAUCGAAGUCUGCAACUCGACUUCGUGAAGCUGGAUUCGCUAGUAAUCGCGCAUCAGCCAUGGCGCGGUGAAUACGUUCCCGGGCCUU
rnacentral:rRNA from 1 species